UACGUAGGUGGCAAGCGUUGUCCGGAUUUACUGGGCGUAAAGAGCGCGCAGGCGGUCGGAUAAGUCGAAUGUGAAAGCCCCCGGCUCAACUGGGGAGGGUCAUUCGAUACUGUUCGACUCGAAGGCAGGAGAGGGAAGUGGAGUUCCCGGUGUAGUGGUGAAAUGCGUAGAUAUCGGGAGGAACACCAGUGGCGAAGGCGACUUCCUGGCCUGUUCUUGACGCUGAGGCGCGAAAGCUAGGGGAGCAAACGGG
rnacentral:rRNA from 1 species